UACAGAGGUCUCAAGCGUUGUUCGGAUUCAUUGGGCGUAAAGGGUGCGUAGGUGGCGCCGCAAGUCGGGUGUGAAAUUUCGGAGCUUAACUCCGAAACUGCAUUCGAUACUGCGGUGCUUGAGGACUGGAGAGGAGACUGGAAUUCAUGGUGUAGCAGUGAAAUGCGUAGAGAUCAUGAGGAAGACCAGUGGCGAAGGCGGUUCUCUGGGCCUUACCUGACGCUGAGGAGCGAAAGCGUGGGGAGCGAACAGG
rnacentral:rRNA from 1 species